rnacentral:rRNA from 1 species
ACUCCUACGGGAGGCAGCAGUGGGGAAUAUUGCACAAUGGGGGAAACCCUGAUGCAGCCAUGCCGCGUGUGUGAAGAAGGCCUUGGUUGUAAAGCACUUUCAGUAGGGAGGAAGGUAGUGUAGUUAACACCUGCAUUAUUUGUACGUUACCUACAGAAGAAGCACCGGCUAACUCCGUGCCAGCAGCCGCGGUAAUACGGAGGGUGCGAGCGUUAAUCGGAAUUACUGGGCGUAAAGCGCAUGCAGGCGGCCUGUUAAGUCAGAUGUGAAAGCCCGGGGCUUAACCUCGGAAUUGCAUUUGAAACUGGCAGGCUAGAGUCUUGUAGAGGGGUUAGAAUUUCAGGUGUAGCGGUGAAAUGCGUA